GGCAUGGUGGUGCAGUGGUUAGCACUGUUGCCUCUCAGCAAAACGGUUGUGGGUUCAAAUUUGGCCUAAGGCC